AAGGAAAAAGAUUUCAUUGACUUACAGUUCUGCAUUGCUGGGGAGGCCUCAGGAAACUUAUAAUCAUGGCGGAAGACCAAGCAGAAAGAAAGCUUCUUCACAUGGUGGCAAGAGAGAGAAGAGUGAAUGAGCAAAGGGGGUACACUGUGCCAAGCUGACAACACUGUUUAUGGCUGUGGGUCACCAGCUCCCUGAGACCUGCUCCUCUGCACCUCCCUAAAGGCUAAGAGACUCAAUAUCUCUCUCACUCGAACCCAUCAGCUCCACAGCAAAGUUCCUGGUAUCUCUUUUGGGAAAUAUCCUGCCAUUGGGAAAGAAAGGAGAACAGGAAUUGAUGAAGAAAAGGGAGAAAAGGGGACAAAAAGAAGACAAAAGAAGAAUAGAAGCAGAAGAGUACGGUAUUCUAAGUGAAGGAAGAACCUUUUUAAAGAGGGAGUGAACCAAAAAGACUUGACAGCUAUUGAGAAUUCCAAUUGUGUGGGAGCUAAGGAGAGGGCACUGGUUAGGGCAAUGUCCUCCCUGGUUUUGCGUUAGAGGCAGUUUGAGUAGUAGAGGGGCAUAGAAGGCAGAUUAGGCAGUGACAGGGAAGUAUGGAAGCGGUGUGUGUGGUUUGCUGCACUUAGACAAACCUUGUGGGGGAAGGUAGAAAAGCAAUGGGCUGGAAUGGGUGGCAAUGACACUUUGGGGAUUUGAAGACCUGCCUGAGUUUGUAUGCAGAUUGAGGGGAAGAUAUAAGAGGAAAGAAUGGAACUGAAAACAUAAAAGACAAAAGGAAAUAAUUGACAAAGCAAAAUUCAGGCAACCAGGAAAGAACGGGAUCAAAUGUAUGUAGACAGAUUAAACUUGGUUAAGAAUAUACUUUUCUUUGAAUAGACAGAAAGGAGGAACAUAUUGAUAAAUGGUAGAGGGAGAUUUUGAAGGGUGCUGAAGACCUGAGAGAGUAUUCUCACUCAAUAGCUUUUGUUUUCUCUGUAAAAUAUGAUGUGAGAAGGAUGGUGAUCAUUCAGCAAUUCCUACUGGGGAAAAGGACAGACAACAACGUGGAGUGAGAGUGGGGUCAGAUGACUGUAUCAAUCAUGUGCUCAACACUGUGCUAGGUGCUGUAGGGGAUAUAAAAUAUGUAUCAUGUGAUUCCUGCCCUCAAAGGGAAACACACACACACACACACACACACACACACACACAGACACACACACACUCUCUCUCUCAAACCUAUAAGGGUAAGGGAAUCUUUUUGAGUUAAACUAUGAUUUGCUGAAAAGCAUAAUAAAAGUCCUAGGUAAGAAUUGGAGAGGGGGCAGUAAAGACAUUGAGAAAAGCUUUAUGCAUUAUUUGGAUAAACAGAGGAACAGAUUGUAGGAAGCAACAGAACCCAGCAUGAGCAUGGCAUGCACACCAGCUAGUUGGGAGAUCAUGAGAUAGUAGAGGAAAUGAGUGAUGGGAAGAGGAAGGCAACAUGACUGAAUAGAUAGGAAAGAACCAGAGUAUAGAGCACUGGUAGAAAGGAUGGAGGUGCAUGAAGAUUAAUUAGGUAUUUACCUGCAGGAUGAAGGAGAGUGU
rnacentral:lncRNA from 1 species